ACAAGUAUAGGUGGUGUGUAGAGGUGAGGUGAGGUGUAUAUACUCACUAUGUGUAGAGGUGAGGUGGUGUGUAGAGGUGAGGGUGUGUAGAGGUGAGGUGGUGUCUAGAGGUGAGGGUGGUGUGUAGAGGUGAGGUGGUGUCUAGAGGUGAGGGUGGUGUGUAGAGGUGAGGGUGUGUAGAGGUGAGGUGGUGUCUAGAGGUGGUAUAUACUCACUAUGUGUAGAGGUGACGGUGAGGUGGUCAGGCCGUGGAAGGAGAUACUGUAGUCAACGGUGACGUCACCAAGGCUGGCCCACCACCGGGCGACACAUAACUCUACUGUCCUCCCCGAC
ensembl:lncRNA